rnacentral:rRNA from 3 species
GCAUAUCAAUAAGCGGAGGAAAAGAAACCAACAGGGAUUGCCCCAGUAACGGCGAGUGAAGCGGCAAGAGCUCAAAUUUGAAAGCUGGCUCCUUCGGGGUCCGCAUUGUAAUUUGUAGAGGAUGCUUCGGGAGCGGUCCCCAUCUAAGUGCCCUGGAACGGGACGUCAUAGAGGGUGAGAAUCCCGUAUGGGAUGGGGUGUCCGCGCCCGUGUGAAGCUCCUUCGACGAGUCGAGUUGUUUGGGAAUGCAGCUCUAAAUGGGUGGUAAAUUUCAUCUAAAGCUAAAUAUUGGCCGGAGACCGAUAGCGCACAAGUAGAGUGAUCGAAAGAUGAAAAGCACUUUGAAAAGAGAGUUAAAAAGCACGUGAAAUUGUUGAAAGGGAAGCGCUUGCGACCAGACUCGCUCGCGGGGUUCAGCCGGCAUUCGUGCCGGUGUACUUCCCCGCGGGCGGGCCAGCGUCGGUUUGGGCGGUCGGUCAAAGGCCCUCGGAAGGUAACGCCCCUAGGGGCGUCUUAUAGCCGAGGGUGCAAUGCGACCUGCCUAGACCGAGGAACGCGCUUCGGCUCGGACGCUGGCAUAAUGGUCGUAAACGACCCGUCUUGAAACACGGACC